rnacentral:rRNA from 1 species
UACGUAGGGGGCAAGCGUUGUCCGGAUUUAUUGGGCGUAAAGAGCGUGUAGGCGGUCUGGUAGGUCCGUUGUGAAAACUCGAGGCUCAACCUCGAGACGCCGAUGGAAACCGUCUGGCUAGAGUCCGGAAGAGGAGAGUGGAAUUCCUGGUGUAGCGGUGAAAUGCGCAGAUAUCAGGAAGAACACCCGUGGCUAAGGCGGCUCUCUAGUACGGUACUGACGCUGAGACGCGAAAGCGUGGGGAGCGAACAGG